rnacentral:rRNA from 1 species
GGGUUGUGAGGUUAAGCGACCAAGCGUACACGGUGGAUGCCCUGGCAGUCAGAGGCGAUGAAGGACGUGCUAAUCUGCGAUAAGCGCCGGUAAGGUGAUAUGAACCGUUAUAACCGGCGAUUUCCGAAUGGGGAAACCCAGUGUGAUUCGUCACACUAUCAUUAACUGAAUCCAUAGGUUAAUGAAGCGAACCGGGGGAACUGAAACAUCUAAGUACCCCGAGGAAAAGAAAUCAACCGAGAUUCCCCCAGUAGCGGCGAGCGAACGGGGAGGAGCCCAGAGUCUGAAUCAGCAUGUGUGUUAGUGGAAGCGUCUGGAAAGGCGCGCGAUACAGGGUGACAGCCCCGUACACAAAAGCGCAUAUGCUGUGAGCUCGAUGAGUAGGGCGGGACACGUGGUAUCCUGUCUGAAUAUGGGGGGACCAUCCUCCAAGGCUAAAUACUCCUGACUGACCGAUAGUGAACCAGUACCGUGAGGGAAAGGCGAAAAGAACCCCGGCGAGGGGAGUGAAACAGAACCUGAAACCGUGUACGUACAAGCA